rnacentral:lncRNA from 8 species
UUUUCCCAGAAAACUGCCCUUUUUGUGCUCAUGCUAGCUAGCAGUAGCCACAGCAGCCUUUGUUGACACUGUCAUUCCAAAAUGGCUGAGAUGGCAACUGCUAGCUAGCAUGAGGACGAAAAGGGCAGUUUUCCAUGGGAUAACUAGCAGUACUUCAAUCUUCUCAAUGGGCGUGGUGUGGAUAGGUAAAAUUUGGAGUACAAGUGGCAUAUCCCAUCCCUGCAUUGAGGUACGUUUUCAGACCUAUAUCUCGCGCUGGCUCCACGGUGUCUUGAUGUAACCAUGAUUGCUUUCUGACCCCAGUGCAGCUCAGUGUAAACAAGCGUAUUCGUAGUGAGCAUACAUCUAUACAUCUACAUUAUUAAAAUAAACCAAAGUAUUUUUCUGUGGUGGCCUAUAGAGGAAAAACUGGUAUUAUAUCACACACACAAACACACACACACACACACACACACACACACACACACACACACACACACACACACACACACACACACACACACACACACACACACACACACACACACACACACACACACAGAGAGAGAGACACACACACACACACACACACACAGAGACACACACACAUAGACACACAGAGAGAGAGAGUGACACACACACACACACACACACACACACACAGAGACACACACACAGAGAGAGAGAGAGAGAGAGACACAAACACACACACACACCUGUAGAGCAUUAAUAUGACUCAGGCCCUUAUAACUAGAGAUGAUACACACCCUCGUUCUUUCACAACAUAAUCUUGUGUCUGAGGAAACACAGUAGCUUACUGGUUGACCUGCGUCUCAGGUAUCAGUACACCUUCACAGAGACAGACGGAGGAAGGAAUCCCAACGCUAACACACCUACCGACCUGACUGACUGACACUGCUAAAACCUUAAUCAGAUCAGUGAUAUCUGUUUCCAGUUGACCCCAUGACAGUCAUUGUCUCGUCAUCAUGAGAUCACACCACCUCUUCCUCCUGAUCUACCUCACAGCUCUCUGCUGCUACUGGGGAACAUCAGAUGCACAACGAAAUGAGACCUGCCAUACACAAGAACUGUGUACUCAGGCUGGUGAUCCUACCUCUAACUUCCUCCAGUGUGUGGGUCUGCCAGCUACAGACACAGGGAGAGACCACCUGCAGAACCUGAAGGACACCAUCGAUGCAGCCCUGGAUGUCUACUCCUUCAUGGUAGCUUGAUACAUCCCCAGACCUGAAUUCAAAUACUAUCUGAAACGUUUCAAAUGUACCGAAAAAAUAUAGAAAACGCAACAUGCAACAUUGAUUUUACUGCAUUACAGUUCACAUAAGGAAAUAAGUCAAUUGAAAUAAAUGCAUUAGGCCCUAAUCUAUGGAUUUCACAUGACCUAGCAGGGGUGUAGCUAUGGUUGGGCCUGGGAGGGCACAGGCCCACCCACUGGGGAGCUCGACCCAGCCAAUCAGAAGGAGUUUUCUCUAAAACAACGUUGGAAUGUGGGUUAUGAUAGAGAAGUUAACAUGCUAUUCUCUAGCAACAGUUCUGGUGGACAUUCCUGCAGUCAGCAUACCAAUUGCACACUCCCUCAAAACUUGAACGCACCUUAUUUGAUGGAAUGUUGGCACGGGUCGAGAACUUCAGAACUGAUCUGAACAUUCCGUCAGAGGAAUGUUUUCGGGUGCCAUUUCUCAGCGACAGACAUAAUGGAAGUGACAGAUGGGAAGAAAUGCAGAGUGAUGUGAAGGCUACAGUGGGGGAAAAAAGUAUUUGAUCCCCUGCUGAUUUUGUACGUUUGCCCACUGACAAAGAAAUGAUCAGUCUAUCAUUUUAAUGGUAGGUUUAUUUGAACAGUGAGAGACAGAAUAACAACAAAAAAAUCCAGAAAAACUCAUGUGAAAAAUGUUAUAAAAUGAUUUGCAUUUUUUUUAAAUAAUGGACGUUUUCAAAAAAUAAUAACUUAGAAAUCCCGAUGUGGCCCUCAAGCCAAAAUGAUUGCCCACCGCUGGUCUAACCCCCUCUCCAGAGAUCCAGUCUAUCCCAGACCCCAGUGUUAGGACUAGAGCUGGGUAUCAGUGUAACCCCUCUCCCUCUCCUGUCUCCCCCUCUCCAGAGAUCCAGUCUAUCCCAGACCCCAGUGUUAGGACUAGAGCUGGGUAUCAGUGUAACCCCUCUCCCUCUCCUGUCUCCCCCUCUCCAGAGAUCCAGUCUAUCCCAGACCCCAGUGUUAGGACUAGAGCUGGGUAUCAGUGUAACCCUAACCCCUGUCUCCCCCUCUCCAGAGAUCCAGUCUAUCCCAGACCCCAGUGUUAGGACUAGAGCUGGGUAUCAGUGUAACCCUAACCCCUGUCUCCCCCUCUCCAGAGAUCCAGUCUAUCCCAGACCCCAGUGUUAGGACUAGAGCUGGGUAUCAAUGUGAACCCAGAGGCAGAAGCCUACCAAGAUGAGGACCUGAUAAAGGUGUGGAUGGAGGUGAAGCUGAAACCACUCCUCUCCAGCAUCUCCAGAGGGUUCCUAACCUGCCUCAGCAACAAGAACUUCAGCUGCAACACCUACCAGACCAUGUACUGACAUUACUAUAUAUAAUAUAACCUACCAGACCAUGUUAUAAUAUCACCUACCAGACCAUGUUAUAACAUUACUAUAUAUAAUAUAACCUACCAGACCAUGUACUGACAUUACUAUAUAUAAUAUAACCUACCAGACCAUGUUAUAAUAUCACCUACCAGACCAUGUUAUAACAUUACUAUAUAUAAUAUAACCUACCAGACCAUGUACUGACAUUACUAUAUAUAAUAUAACCUACCAGACCAUGUUAUAAUAUCACCUACCAGACCAUGUUAUAACAUUACUAUAUAUAAUAUAAUAUCACCUACCAGACCAUGUUAUAACAUUACUAUAUAUAAUAUAAUAUCAUCUACCAGACCAUGUUAUAACAUUACUAUAUAUAAUAUAAUAUCACCUACCAGACCAUGUUAUAACAUUACUAUAUAUAAUAUAAU